UCAGUCAGUUCGAUUUAGUUUAUAUUUUUAGAAAAAUUUGGUUUAUUCGGUUUGUAUAUUUUUGAAUAGUUUAAAGAAAAAAGAGAAAAACUGAAACUAAACAAAAAUUCCAAAUAGAAUAGUUUGAAUAUGAAUAUGAGGUCCAUAUUAGGUGUUACCAAAGCUGUAGACGACUUUGUAAGCCAAAAGUCGUCCCAAAUGGAUUAAUCAAGGAAUCUUCAUGGUGACCUGAAACUAAAUUAUACGUGAAACGUGUUGACCGCAGAAAUCCAUUCAUAAGAGAAAAAACAAGAGGAAUGCUUCAUCUCUGAGAGAGAUAUUGUGUUCAAAGAAGAUCAGAGAUUUAAACUUUUGAUCCUAUAACAAGAGUAGAGAUAAUAAAGAUGGCUGAGUUUGCAGUAGGAAUUGUUGUGGAAAAACUAACAAACAUACUUGCACAAGAAGCAGGUCACCUAGACGGGGUGAGCGAGAAGGUUCAGCAACUGAGAAACGAAUUGAAGUGGAUGCAAAGCUUCUUGAAGGAUGCAGAUGCGAAGCAAGGAAGUAAUGAAUUGGUACGGAACUGGGUUUCUGAAAUUAGAGAUGUUGCCUAUGAUGCAGAGGAAGUAAUCGACGCAUACAUCUCUAAAGCAGCAUCUCAUCGUAAACGAGACUUGAUCACCAAACCAAUAGACCUGUACAAGGUUGGAAGGAAGAUUGCGAGUAUCCGAUCAAGGAUCCAGGAAAUAUCUAGCAGGCGAGAAACUUAUGGUGUGGUAAGCAUUAACAGCGAGGGAGGAGAGGGGAAUGCCGCGAACGAGAGGCUGAAAUGGUGGAGACAACCGUCACCUCUUAUCGAGGAAGAUGAUGUUAUUGAGCUCGUAGAAGAUACAAAAGUUUUGGUUGAAAAGCUAACUAGUUUGGAAUACAGGCGGAGUGUAGUUUCCAUUGUAGGAAUGGGCGGUUUGGGGAAAACAACCUUGGCGAAGAAACUAUACACUCACAACGAUGUCAAGUAUCAUUUUGAUUGUAAAGCUUGGGUUUACGUCUCAAAAGAUUAUAGGAGAAGGGAGAUUCUGCAAGGAAUUAUCAUGGAUGCAAAUGCGCUCAACAAGGAGGAGAUGGAAAAUAUGGAAAAGCUGAAAGAGGAAGAGUUGUUGAAGAUACUGUCUGAAUUCCUGGAAGAAAGGAGAUAUCUAGUGGUUCUUGAUGACAUAUGGAGCAUGGAGGCUUGGGACGGCGUAAAAACUGCGUUUCCCCAUGGAAAGAAUGGAAGCAAGAUAUUGCUCACCACCAGAAACAAGGAGGUGGCUUUACAUGCAGGACCAGGAUGCGAACCCCACGAGCCGCGGAUCCUGACAGAAGAAGAAAGUUUAGAGUUGCUCCGAAGAAAGGCAUUUCCUGGAAGGAAUCGUUUGCCCUCGGAGUUGGAGAAACUUGGACGGGACAUUGUAGUAAAAUGUGGUGGUCUGCCUCUGGCAGUGGUAGUGCUUGGAGGUUUAUUGUCUAGACAAAACAACUCACCAGAGGAAUGGCGGCGAGUGCUUCAUAACAUCAGUUGGCACUUAAUUAGAGGAGAAGAUCGAACUGCUGCAGUUUUAGCACUAAGCUACAAUGAUUUGCCUCUGCACCUAAAGUCCUGCUUUCUCUACCUGGGACUUUUCCCAGAAGAUGUUUCAAUUCAGAGAGAAAAAUUAAUCCACCUGUGGGUUGCAGAAGGCUUUUUACCAUUAGAAGGGGAAGAAACAGCAGAAAGUGUUGCUGAGAAAUGCUUGUAUGAGUUGAUCCAGAGAUGCAUGAUUCAAGUGGGCCGAAUUAGCUCUCUUGGGAGGGUGAAAACACUCCGCAUCCAUGAUCUUCUCAGAGACCUCUCUAUUUCAAAUGGGAGAGAAGAAAAUUUCCUAGAGAUUCAUCAUAGGAACAAGGUACACACAUCUACAUCUCAAUUCAGUAAAUCUCGAAGGCAUGCUAUACAUUCUUGUUAUGAUCAGUAUGCUUUCUUGAAAUAUUCUGCCUCUCACUCACGCUCUCUUCUGCUCUUCAAUGAAGAGCAUAAUGUGAAAAUUGUUACCAAUCAAAUAAAAAUUACAUUCCUAGGACAUGAUUACACUUUGAAAUUUACAGUAGAGAAGAAAUUGGAUUUUUACAAGAACUUUAAGCAACUAAGGGUUCUAGUUCUGGAUGGCGUGCGUAAUUCUAGCCUACCAAGUACCAUAGGUUACCUUGUACAACUAAGGUAUUUAGGAUUGAAGAAGACAAAUUUAGAAGAACUUCCAGUAUCCAUUGGGAACUUACUGCAUCUGCAAACAUUGGAUUUGAGGUACAGUUGCUUUCUUGAGAGGAUACCCAAUGUGAUAUGGAAGAUGGUGUACUUAAGACAUUUACUCCUCUAUACUCCAUUUGAUUCUCCAGAUAGUGGGCAUCUGAGAAUGGAUACCUUAACUAAUCUACAGACUCUACCAUAUAUAGAGGCUGGAAGCUGGAUAGAAGAAGGUGGGCUAUCCAACAUGAUUAAUCUUCGACAACUGGGGAUUGGCGAAUUAUCUGGAGAAAAGGUGAGGUUGGUCAUCUCAUCGAUAGGAAGAUUGCACCACCUACAGUCGUUGUCUCUAAUGCUUCAAUCCCAAAAUGAAGCAUUUCCUAUGUGGAUGCAGUUUUCUCAGUAUGAUCAUCUCCUCAAAUUGUGUUUCUACGGAAGGAUGGAGACGUUACCCAACCCACGCCAGUUCCCACCUAACCUCUUGAAACUAACCUUGUAUUACUCACACCUUCAGAAAGAUUCAAUUGCUCUGCUGGAGAGGUUGCCAAACCUGAGAAUGCUUGUUUUGGGUAAACGAUCAUACACUUGCAGGGAACUUACUUUCACUACAGAAGGCUUUCCUCGCUUGGAAACUUUGAGACUUAACUUUCUGGAAGAAUUGGAGGAGUGGAUAGUGGAAGAACGCUCAAUGCCAAGACUCAAGCAUUUAGUGAUAAGUAGCUGUCAAAAACUAGAAAGAAUUCCUCAAGGAUUGAAGCUUGUGACCACCCUCAAAGAACUAAAGAUAUUAGGAAUGCCAUUAUUGUUCGAGUACAGGCUUCGAAAUGAAGACCUGCUGGAAUUCAAACAAGCACCGGUAAUCAAAUCAACCACUGAUAUAUUAGGAAAUGGGGCUUCAGCUGCCAGUACAAUGUUUGGCAUGGAAGACACUUCAUCUUACUGAAGGUUUUGUAAACAAUGCCAGACAAAUUCUGUUCGAAGGUUGUUCCUUUUGUUCCUCUCGGUGCAUAGACAUCCUAAAGAUGGAGGCCCAAAAAUGAUCUACAAAAUCAGCAUGCUACAUGGAGAUCAAUCAUAAAGCAGCAUUUUCCAGCAUGACCAUUGGGAGGUAGGAAUAUUCACUGGAAGUUUCAACCCUUUCCUCAGUUAUUUCCUUCCAUAAUCUCUGGUUUUAUUAAAAUUUGCACCAGCAAAAUCACCUAAUAAAUAUCAUUUAAAUUUGGAUCUUUUGCAAGCUAAUUUCCAUGCACAACAUCUGUCACUUUCCUGUAAAAGCACUCAUCCAUGCCACUGUUCGGGCAGGUAUACAACAAUGUAAUCUAGGACUUUCUUCCAAAGCUAUAUCUACUAUAUUUUAUUUGUCAAGAACUUUGCUUUAAGAAAAAAGAUCGUAAGCCAAAACUUUGUGAGACUCCCGAUUCAUCAGAUAAAUCAUGAUAAUUUGUUAAUAGAAAUUGACAGAAAAGUUAAAGCACCAAAAUAAUUUCAAGAAGUAAAAAAGUGAAAUGGACAGUUCCCUCAUAUACCAGAGUUUCUACUCAGUUAC